CUUAGAAGCAGCCAUACAUUAAAAGAGUGCGUAAUAGCUCACUGGUCGAGUGACCCUGCGCCGAAAAUUCAACGGGGCUAAAAUGUAAACCGAAGCUUGGGAUUCAUACUACUGAACAAAGCUGGUUCAGUGAGUUGAAUCUGGUCGAAGACAAAAUUCAACUAAAAAGCUGAAGCGAAAACCGAAUCGGUUUUGUUCAGUAGUAUGAGUGGUAGGAGAGCGUCGUGUAAGAGGAGAAGUCGGAGCGGAAGCGCCGGUGGAUUUUACACGAGUGAGAAUGCCGGAAUGAGUAGCGAGAAUUAUGUGAGAAUCAUGAUGGCCGAAAGUCUAAGGUUUCUUGAGGAAGGUUCGUCCGCUCAAGGUAAGCCGGGAGCUAAGGUGAGGCGGAAACGCGUAGCCGAUGCACAUACGGUAGAAAUUCCGUAGCCUCCAAAAGAUUAAAGCAGAAGGACACUUUGAAAGCGAUGUUGCCGGGCGUUGGUUGCCCCGGUCGUAAGGGACUGAAAUUAAGUAAGGAAGUCAUCGUAGACGAAGGCGAGAAAAGUUCUGUGUAUAUCUUCGGAGCCCGUACCGCAAACCGACACAGGUAGAUAGGAAGAAAAUUCUAAGGCCAACGGGAGAAGGGUAGUUAAGGAACUCGGCAAGUUGACCCCGUAACUUAGGGAUAAGGGGUGCUCAAGAAAUUGAGCCGCAGAGAAUAGGCCCAGGCGACUGUUUAGCAAAAACACAGCUCUAUGCUAAAUCGAAAGAUGAUGUAUAUGGGGUGACACCUGCCCGGUGCCGGAAGGUUAAGAGGAGGAGUGAGAGCUCUGAAUUGAAGCCCCGGUAAACGGCGGCCGUAACUAUAACGGUCCUAAGGUAGCGAAAUUCCUUGUCAGGUAAGUUCUGACCCGCACGAAUGGUGUAACGAUCUGGGCACUGUCUCAACUACCCGCCCGGCGAAAUUGUAGUACCGGUGAAGAUGCCGGUUACCCGCGACUAGACGGAAAGACCCCAUGGAGCUUUACUGUAGCUUAAUAUUGGAUUUCGGCAUUUCAUGUACAGGAUAGGUGGGAGACUAGGAAACAUAGGCGUCAGCUUAUGCGGAGUCGUCCUUGGGAUACCACUCUUGGAGUGCUGAAAUUCUAACCUGCAGCCCUGAAUCGGGUUGGGGGACAUUGUUAGGUGGGCAGUUUGACUGGGGCGGUCGCCUCCAAAAAGGUAACGGAGGCGCUCAAAGGUUGGCUCAGCAUGGAUGGAAACCAUGCUCUUGAGUGUAAACGCAAAAGCGAGCCUAACUGCGAGACUGACGGGUCGAGCAGUAACGAAAGUUGGAGUUAG
rnacentral:rRNA from 1 species